UCAGUCGACUCCUACGGGGAGGCAGCAGUGGGGAAUAUUGCACAAUGGGGGAAACCCUGAUGCAGCCAUGCCGCGUGUGUGAAGAAGGCCUCGGGUGUAAAGCACUUUCAGUAGGGAGGAAGGUAGUGUAGUUAACACCUGCAUUAUUUGACGUUACCUACAGAAGAAGCACCGGCUAACUCCGUGCCAGCAGCCGCGGUAAUACGGAGGGUGCGAGCGUUAAUCGGAAUUACUGGGCGUAAAGCGCAUGCAGGCGGCCUGUUAAGUCAGAUGUGAAAGCCCGGGGCUUAACCUCGGAAUUGCAUUUGAAACUGGCAGGCUAGAGUCUUGUAGAGGGGGGUAGGAAUUUCAGGUGUAGCGGUGAAAUAGCGUAGAGAUCUGAAGGAAUACCAGUGGCGAAGGCGGCCCCCUCGGACAAAGACUGACGCUCAGAUGCGAAAGCGUGGGGAGCAAACAGGAUUAGAUACCCUGGUAG
rnacentral:rRNA from 1 species